GUGGGGAAUAUUGGACAAUGGGCGCAAGCCUGAUCCAGCCAUGCCGCGUGAGUGAUGAAGGCCCUAGGGUUGUAAAGCUCUUUCACCGAUGAAGAUAAUGACGGUAGUCGGAGAAGAAGCCCCGGCUAACUUCGUGCCAGCAGCCGCGGUAAUACGAAGGGGGCUAGCGUUGUUCGGAAUUACUGGGCGUAAAGCGCACGUAGGCGGAUAUUUAAGUCAGGGGUGAAAUCCCGGGGCUCAACCCCGGAACUGCCUUUGAUACUGGGUAUCUCGAGUAUGGAAGAGGUGAGUGGAAUUCCGAGUGUAGAGGUGAAAUUCGUAGAUAUUCGGAGGAACACCAGUGGCGAAGGCGGCUCACUGGUCCAUUACUGACGCUGAGGUGCGAAAGCGUGGGGAGCAAACAGGAUUAGAAACCCGUGUAGUCC
rnacentral:rRNA from 1 species